rnacentral:rRNA from 1 species
CAGUCGAACGAGCGAGAGAAAGCUUGCUUUCUCGAGCGAGUGGCGAACGGGUGACUAACGCGUGAGGAACCUGCCUCAAAGAGGGGGACAACAGUUGGAAACGACUGCUAAUACCGCAUAAGCCCACAGGUCGGCAUCGACCAGAGGGAAAAGGAGCAAUCCGCUUUGAGAUGGCCUCGCGUCCGAUUAGCUAGUUGGUGAGGUAAUGGCCCACCAAGGCGACGAUCGGUAGCCGGACUGAGAGGUUGAACGGCCACAUUGGGACUGAGACACGGCCCAGACUCCUACGGGAGGCAGCAGUGGGGAAUAUUGCACAAUGGGGGAAACCCUGAUGCAGCGACGCCGCGUGGAGGAAGAAGGUCUUCGGAUUGUAAACUCCUGUUGUUGAGGAAGAUAAUGACGGUACUCAACAAGGAAGUGACGGCUAACUACGUGCCAGCAGCCGCGGUAAAACGUAGGUCACAAGCGUUGUCCGGAAUUACUGGGUGUAAAGGGAGCGCAGGCGGGAAGACAAGUUGGAAGUGAAAUCUAUGGGCUCAACCCAUAAACUGCUUUCAAAACUGUUUUUCUUGAGUAGUGCAGAGGUAGGCGGAAUUCCCGGUGUAGCGGUGGAAUGCGUAGAUAUCGGGAGGAACACCAGUGGCGAAGGUGGCCUACUGGGCACCAACUGACGCUGAGGCUCGAAAGUG